CGAACCGUGCGAACGUUAUUCGGAAUCACUGGGCUUAAAGCGCGUGUAGGCGGGGCGGCACGUCGGCCGCUGAAAUCCCCCGGCUUAACCGGGGAACUGGCGUCGAUACGACCGCCCUGGAGGGGCGUAGGGGGACCUGGAACUUCCGGUGGAGCGGUGAAAUGCGUUGAGAUCGGAAGGAACGCCCGUGGCGAAAGCGAGGUCCUGGACGCCUACUGACGCUGAGACGCGAAAGCCAGGGGAGCGAACGGGAUUAGAUACCCCGGUAGUCCUGGCCGUAAACGAUGGGCACUGGGUAGGGGGCUCGCCGAUGGGCUCCCUGCCGAAGGGAAACCGUGAAGUGCCCCGCCUGGGGAGUAUGGUCGCAAGGCUG
rnacentral:rRNA from 1 species